CCGCCAAGGUCGUGGAGACGUGGGGCGCACCCAACGCCUCCUGCGCCAUCGUCACUGCCUCCCUCGCCGAUCGUGCCACCGACCCCGUUUUGGCUGUGGCGAGGAAGAACGGCGUGGUUGAGUUGCUGAAUCCCCUGAACGGAGAUACUUUGGCUGCUGUCAAUACAGU